rnacentral:tRNA from 1 species
UGAGAUUGUGGCUCAGCAGUAGAGCGCUCGCCUAGCAUGUUCGAGGCCCUGGGUUCGAUCCUCAGCAUCAUAG